AUUGAACGCUGGCGGCAUGCUUUACACAUGCGAGUCGAACGGUAACAGGCCUUCGGGUUCUGACGAGUGGCGAACGGGUGAGUAAUGCAUCGGAACGUACCCAGAGGUUGGGGAUAACGCAGCGAAAGCUGUGCUAAUACCGCAUGUGAUCUGAGGAUGAAAGCGGGGGACCGAGCAGCAAAGUUUGGCCUCGCGCCUUUUGAGCGGCCGAUGUCGGAUUAGCUAGUUGGUGGGGUAAAGGCCUACCAAGGCGACGAUCCGUACCUGGUCUGAGAGGACGACCAGCCACCAUGGGCUUGAGAUACGCGCCAGACUCCUAAGGUAGGCAGCAGUCGGGAAUCUUGGACAACGCGCGCAAGCCUGAUUAAGCAAUGACGUGGGAGGGAAGCAGGCCUUCGGGUUGUAAACCGCUUUUGGCAGGAACGAAACGGUGUCCGCUAAUACCGGGCGCUAAUGACGGUACCUGCAGAAUAAGCACCGGCUAACUACGUG
rnacentral:rRNA from 1 species